rnacentral:rRNA from 1 species
ACUCAAAUGAAUAGACGGGGGCCCGCACAAGCGGUGGAGUAUGUGGUUUAAUUCGAAGCAACGCGCAGAACCUUACCUGGGUUUGACAUCCCACGACGACUGCAGAGAUGUAGUUUUCCCUUCGGGGACGUGGUGACAAGUGCUGCAUGGCUGUCGUCAGCUCGUGUCGUAAGAUGUUGGGUUAAGUCCCGCAACGAGCGCAACCCCUGCCUUUAGUUGCCAUCAUUAAGUUGGGCACUCUAGAGGGACCGCCGGUGUUAAACCGGAGGAAGGCGGGGAUGACGUCAAGUCCUCAUGGCCUUUACAUCCAGGGCUACACACGUACUACAAUGGCAGGGACAAACCGUUGCGAAGCCGCAAGGUGGAGCUAAUCGGAAAAACCCUGCCUCAGUUCGGAUUGAAGUCUGCAAUUCGACUUCAUGAAGUUGGAAUCGCUAGUAAUCGCAGAUCAGCACGCUGCGGUGAAUACGUUCCCGGGCCUUGUACACACCGCCCGU